UUAUACUGUCUCCUUUUUCUAUCAGUGAAACUAAUCUUCCCGUGAAGAAGCGGGAAUACCCCUAUAAGACGAGAAGACCCCAUGGAGCUUCAAACCCAACUACACCCCUAACUUCUAUAACCCCCACCCCACGGGACCCUGUAUAGUUGGUUUUAGGUUGGGGCAACCACGGAGCACAACAAAGCCUCCACAAUGAAUGGGACCACCCCCCUUAUCUAAGAGCCACACCCCUAGGAAUUAAAACAUUAAUAUAAAAUGAUCCAUUAUUUGAUCAAUGAACCAAGUUACCCUGGGGAUAACAGCGCAAUCCAUUUCAAGAGCCCCUAUCGACAAAUGGG
rnacentral:rRNA from 1 species